rnacentral:rRNA from 1 species
UACGGAGGGUGCAAGCUUUGUCCGGAAUCACUGGGUGUAAAGGGUGUGUAGGCGGGACAGUAAGUCAGUGGUGAAAGCCUGCGGCUUAACCGUAGAAUUGCCUCUGAUACUGCUGUUCUUGAGUACUGGAGAGGUCGCUGGAAUUCGUGGUGUAGCGGUGAAAUGCGUAGAUAUCACGAGGAACACCAGAGGUGUAGACGGGCGACUGGACAGUAACUGACGCUGAGGCACGAAAGCGUGGGGAGCAAACAGG